rnacentral:tRNA from 1 species
AACCCCGAGGUGUUUGACAUGUCAGACUGCAAAUCUGAAGUCGGCCUUUGCCCGGGGUUU